CACUCCUACGGGAGGCAGCAGUGGGGAAUAUUGCACAAUGGGCGCAAGCCUGAUGCAGCCAUGCCGCGUGUAUGAAGAAGGCCUUCGGGUUGUAAAGUACUUUCAGCGGGGAGGAAGGCGAUAAGGUUAAUAACCUUGUUGAUUGACGUUACCCGCAGAAGAAGCACCGGCUAACUCCGUGCCAGCAGCCGCGGUAAUACGGAGGGUGCAAGCGUUAAUCGGAAUUACUGGGCGUAAAGCGCACGCAGGCGGUCUGUCAAGUCGGAUGUGAAAUCCCCGGGCUCAACCUGGGAACUGCAUUCGAAACUGGCAGGCUAGAGUCUUGUAGAGGGGGGUAGAAUUCCAGGUGUAGCGGUGAAAUGCGUAGAGAUCUGGAGGAAUACCGGUGGCGAAGGCGGCCCCCUGGACAAAGACUGACGCUCAGGUGCGAAAGCGUGGGGAGCAAACAGGAUUAGAAACCCCAGUAGUCCCAUGA
rnacentral:rRNA from 1 species